rnacentral:rRNA from 1 species
GACGAACGCUGGCGGCGUGCUUAACACAUGCAAGUCGAACGGAAAGGCCCUGCUUUUGUGGGGUGCUCGAGUGGCGAACGGGUGAGUAACACGUGAGUAACCUGCCCUUGACUUUGGGAUAACUUCAGGAAACUGGGGCUAAUACCGGAUAGGAGCUCCUGCUGCAUGGUGGGGGUUGGAAAGUUUCGGCGGUUGGGGAUGGACUCGCGGCUUAUCAGCUUGUUGGUGGGGUAGUGGCUUACCAAGGCUUUGACGGGUAGCCGGCCUGAGAGGGUGACCGGCCACAAUGGGACUGAGGUACGGCCCAGACUCGUAAGGGAGGCAGCAGUGGGGAAUAUUGAACCAUGAGCGGAAGCAUGAUGCAGCAACGCCGCGUGCGUGAUGACGGCCUUCGGGUUGUAAACCGCUUUCGCUUGUGACGAAGCGUGAGUGACGGUAAUGGGUAAAGAAGCACCGGCUAACUACGUG